rfam:Stenotrophomonas maltophilia SKK35, WGS project CALN01000000 data, contig: 1101
UAACACAACUCUGGAGAGACCGGUUCGAUCCGGCGCCGAAGGGGCACGAAGCUGCGGCCAGCCGCACUUCCAAACUCUCAGGCAAAAGGACAGAGGGGCGCCC